rnacentral:lncRNA from 1 species
CCUUGGACGCUAAAGCAAUCCCAGAGGUUUCAGCGUCAACACUGCCCUUGGACGCUGAAGAAUGACCGGAUCGAAGGUGUGUCACUGAAGAACUUUGGACUAUGCCAUACAUGCUAACGUUUGUGUCCUGAGCCACCUGUUCGACGAGAAAAUCAGAACACUACUCUAAAGACAACAUUCCCUUCAAGCGCAUUAAAUAUGCAAAGCAUUUGGUCACUGUUGAACAGUUUUCUCCCGUUACUUCUUUCGCCUUCCAUCUAUCCCUUUAAAUCCCAUCCAUCUUAUACCGAGAAGCGUAUCGAUCCCCCUCCUAUCCAUCCUCAUAAAGUUAUUGCU